CAAGGGGUACCAAAAGUUUCUCAUUGGUGGGGGGUGGAGACGGAGCGUUUUUUGACAGCGAAUUGUUCGUCUACCAUGCCUACGAUUACGAUUGCCUGUCACAAGAUGGACGAUUCCGUGCAUUGGUAUAAGAACACACCUGAAGCUUUACCCGCCUUGCUUUUAAUAUGUGCUUCGUUUGAGUGUAUUUUAUUUUGUUUUCGAGUCAUCCCGCCGCGAAUUGGAACACGAAAUUGAAAAUCGCGGAUCAAAUGGUAGUUUUUCGGUCGUUUCGGUCAACUAUUGAUGGGCAAGUUCUUCAACGCGGACAAGGCCUUCCCGCAGGCCGUAGGCCGCAGGUUUAUAGAACAUUUACGAAUCGACGUACAGGGAGCCAGUGGACAGCACAUAAGUCUGGCAGGAAAAUGCAUUUUUAAGUUUCCCGUCCGAGGAAACCUCCAUCGACAUUCCGGGCACAAUGAGCCAACGUCGGAGGACAUUGGAACAUGUACUCUGGAGAUGGGACGAAAGAUGCCGUUUCGUUAACUAACCGGCACUGGAAACGGGCGCAUUAUCAGGUGGCAUCGGUCGGCCCGAGAAAUGCAUUCAUUAAGGAAAGCUCUAUUCGAUGCAAAUUAAGUCCCCCUGACCGAAGGAACACCUGUUUAUUGGAGGCUCGCUGUCUGGAUUGUUGCCCUCUAGAGAAAAACAUCGCAAAUCGAUAUAAAAAAAAACAAUUUUUGAUGAAACAUCAAGGGCUGAAUCGGUUUGGCGUGCUAAACACCAUCAUGAAGAAAAGUGAUUUGAUUAUUCAUUGAAAAAAUAAAAACAAAAUUGUUUGAAAAUGAAUAUUUUUCGUAAGCUUUCCAAAAUAUCAUAAAAUGCGAUAACAAUACCAUGCAA